rnacentral:rRNA from 1 species
CGUAACACGUGAGCAACCUUCCGAAAUAUGGGGGAUAGCCGGCCUAACGGCCGAGUAAUACCGCAUACGCUCUCGAUGAGGCAUUUCAUUGAGAGGAAACCUACGGGGUAUUUCGAGGGGCUCGCGGCCUAUCAGCUAGUUGGCGAGGUAACGGCUCACCAAGGCAACGACGGGUAGCUGGUCUGAGAGGAUGGCCAGCCACAUUGGGACUGAGAUACGGCCCAG